rnacentral:rRNA from 1 species
GACGAACGCUGGCGGCGUGCUUAACACAUGCAAGUCGAACGGAAAGGCCCUGCUUUUGUGGGGUGCUCGAGUGGCGAACGGGUGAGUAACACGUGAGUAACCUGCCCUUGACUUUGGGAUAACUUCAGGAAACUGGGGCUCAUACCGGAUAGGAGCUCCUGCUGCAUGGUGGGGGUUGGAAAGUUUCGGCGGUUUGGGAUGGACUCGCGGCUUAUCAGCUUGUUGGUGGGGUAGUGGCUUACCAAGGCUUUGACGGGUAGCCGGCCUGAGAGGGUGACCGGCCACAUUGGGACUGAGAGACGGCCCAGACGCCUACGGGAGGCAGCAGUGGGGAAUAUUGCACAAUGGGCGGAAGCCUGAGGCAGCAACGCCGCGUGCGGGAUGACGGCCUUCGGGUUGGAAACCGCGUUCGCCUGUGACGAAGCGUGAGUGACGGUAAUGGGUAAAGAAGCACCGACUAACUACGUG